UACGUAGGGUGCGAGCGUUAAUCGGAAUUACUGGGCGUAAAGCGUGCGCAGGCGGUUUUGUAAGACAGGCGUGAAAUCCCCGAGCUUAACUUGGGAAUGGCGCUUGUGACUGCAAGGCUAGAGUAUGUCAGAGGGGGGUAGAAUUCCACGUGUAGCAGUGAAAUGCGUAGAGAUGUGGAGGAAUACCGAUGGCGAAGGCAGCCUCCUGGGCCAACACUGACGCUCAUGCACGAAAGCGUGGGGAGCAAACAGG
rnacentral:rRNA from 1 species